AUGCGAUACGUAGUGUGAAUUGCAGAAUUCCGCGAAUCAUCGAGUCUUUGAACGCAAGUUGCGCCCGAGGACUUGUUCCAAGGGCAUGUCUGCCUGAGCGUC
rnacentral:rRNA from 1 species